CCGUGGACGCGGGCGUGGGCGUCGUGGGCGCGGACGUGGACGUGGUGGCCGUGGAAAGGGUGGCCGU
rnacentral:ribozyme from 1 species